GUUUCAUCUUCUUUAUUCUUGCUUUUCUCCUCCUUCUUCUCCAUGUUUCAUAUUCUUCAUCAAUUUUUUUCCAGAUUUUCAGUGCAUCAGCAAAAAUCAAUAGAGGCACUACGUAGCAAAAAGAAAUCCUGUCCAAUAGAAAAGGUUGAGAAUGGCACUUGAGUACAUUGUUUCAAAGCUUUGACAGAAUCGAGGAUAACGACAAUAGAAACAUAAAUGAAGAAGAAAGAAGAAAGAAGACAAAAGACAAACUAGAUUUUAACAAGAAAGAAUCAUUAUCCUGCCAUCAACAGACGAUUAAGAAAAAGAAAUCUCAAACUACAAACAAAACGAAAGAGGUUCUCUGUGGCAAACAUAGUAGAAGAGAAGAAUGGUAAAUAAUUUGAAAACACGUACACAUAUUUUUUUUCUCUGAUUCUAUCUUUUAUGUUGCUCUUUAAUAAGACAGAGAAAGCAUAGUUACAGGUGAGAGAAGACUUAAGUUUUACGGCAAAUGAGAGAGAGAGAGCAUUCCAUCUGUGUAACAUCAUAUUGGUUUUUGGUGAGUAAUUUUUAGAGCAAGCAGUCUGUUUGAGAUGUCUUUGUGGACUGUACGAGCUAUAGAAAGGGUUGAGUCUAUUAAUAUAAGUUGACUAUUUUACGGAUGUUGUUCAA